CUUAGGUUGGCCGAGUGGUCUAAGGCGCUGCGUUCAGGACGUAGUCUCCCCUGGAUGCGUGGCUUCAAAUCCCACUUCUGACA
rnacentral:tRNA from 1 species